AGAAGUUUAGGUUAAUCAACAAACCAAGGACCUUCAAAGCCCUUAAUAAAAGUGAAACCCUUUUAACUCCUG
rnacentral:tRNA from 1 species